rnacentral:lncRNA from 1 species
UUGUAACUCCAACUCCAGACCUGACAUUCUCCUGCCUUGUGUGAACCCACCACCACACACAGACAACAAAAAAAAUAUUUUUAAAAAUCAGUUUAAUAAUUGCCAGGUGAGAAAAUUAUACCUACCAUUCAUUUUUUUAUUGUCAAUGUAAGAAAUCAAGUAAUUAUCAUACUUAGUUAACAAUCCUAGUACUUCGUAGGGCAUACUCUGUUGUGCCCCUAAGAUGACAGUCACCUUCUUUAUGGGGUCUUGGUUCCCCUUCUGUUACACCACAUGGAACUGAUGGCUUUUUAAUUCUGAAGACCAUUUUAUGCGUCUAUUGUCACUGUAUCCCAUGGCAUGCUUGCAUCCUGAUCGCUGCUUAAUGCCAUAGCCACUGUGUGAAUCACUCUUUUCUUUCCUCAAGGGUACCUGCAAACAGUCUCCUCUGCUUUUUGCCUGAAGGUGACACUGAGAAGUGUGAAGUGGCUCUUAGUUUUCCAUGAAAUUGCCAAGUCAUCAUCUCUAUACACCCUGGGCUGGUACUGAUUCCAGUCUUGCCUGUGUCAGUCCCAAUUAUCAGUGUAGCCUACCUUUUCUUCUUCCUCAGUACUGAGGUAUUUGUUGGGAUGUGAAAUAUGUUCCUGAGGCUAUCCAAUCACUGCUCUGUACUCCAUCUCCUCUAGCUUUUCUCUGUAAGUCUCCACAUCCUUCUGACCCCUGAUUCUUUUUAGCUGGGAAGGCUUUUGCUUCCCUUUAAGCCUACUCAGUGAUUACAUCUGAUCCAUCAUCUGCCUUUAGUCUUUAGCUUUUCUGUUUCUUCUGCUUUGUUUUCCAUCUUCUUAUAUUACCCUUUUGACCUAUAGUGUGACUGAAGGCAGGAUAGUAAUCUUACAAACUACUGAUCUGCCCCAGUUGGUGAGCUGUGCUUGUGAGUACUGCUGUGUAGGACUGUGAGCACCACUCAGAUCUGGUGGUGGUGAAGGGCAGGGAUGGCUCUGCCAUGGGGACAGGAGUGAUACUUACAAUGCCAUUAUCUCUAUUUGCCAUGUCUAUGGAGCACCUUAAUUGUUAAUCCCUUUCCUCUUUUCAGUGUAUAGCUCUGUUCUGCUUGAUAAAGUUAGAAGAUCAGGUUGUAUUAGAGAAUGGGAUAGAAAGCCACUUGCACAGAGCUUGCUCUUGGCUCAAGGGACACAGAGAAAAUGACACCUAGAAAUAUAUUGUAUUGAAUUGAGAGACAAAUUUACAGAGGGGGAAUACAGAAGAAUUACUUAUUCCUCUUUCAUGUCCCUGUAAAAAAUCUAAGUCUUAAGAUCUUAAAAGUUCUUAAGAUUGGGACACAAAGAAUAAGCAUUCAGUUCUUGGGUAUGUCAGGAACCUGGGAAAUGUUGACAUUCAUAAAAGCUAGAGGAAGUCUGACCCCAUUCUCUGCCACCUAGAAUCCUGUUUUGCUCUUAUAGGCCCGUGCUAGGCUCUCCUAUAAUGAAAACAAGACGGGACUCUUGCUAGUAAGCCCUCCAUCACAUUUAUUUUCACUGUUUAUAGUUUGUAACUUAUUUCAUAUAAAAUUCAUUAUUAAUUUAAUAUAAAAUUUUCAUAGACAAGCCUGCUUCUGAUUCUUUUCUCAUUCUUGCUAUGCCCCCAAGCAAUAUAAGAACACAACAACUCAUGACUAGGUUUUUCUAUGUGUUUCUUAGUGAAUUGUGUGUUGUAGAACAGGUGCUAUGAAGAGUAUAUAAAAGAAAGUGGCCAAGGGAACCUGCCUUUGGGAUGUCACAAUGAAAGGGUAAUUGAGUUUUUAAGAAAUCUUGAGCACUUAUUCCUCAGUGACUGGGCUAAUGCAGUUCACUUCUGUUAUCCCAGAUGCUCUCUAUCUCUAGCCUGUAAUGGUAGCGUUAACAGGUUUUUUUAGUUUUUAAUUUCUAUACCUCUGCUAUUGUUGUAUGCAUUAUUUUGAAAAUUGCAUUAAAUAACAUAAUGAAUAUAAAGGACAUUACAAACUUUGGAGAGCCAUACAACUGUGAUUUGUUUGUUGGCUUUUAUUUUUAGAAAAAGCUUUCCUUUGACUACUGAAUUUAAGGAUAUAUCCUUUAAGGCCCAUCUUUUAUUUUUGUUAGUGUUCCAGAGCCUAAAGGAUCAUAUGUGUCCUUGACCUAAACUUGGAGCAAGUUUUUAUCAAAAUCAAAACAGCAGAAUGACACCUUAACAGAUGUGAAAUAGCAAGAAGGUUGAAGCAAUGAUAAGAAUCUGCCAAUGGGGGCUGGAGAGAUGGCUCAGUGGUUAAGUACACUGACUGCUCUUCUGAAGGUCCUGAGUUCAAAUCCCAGCAACCACAUGGUGGCUCAAAGCCAUCUUUAAUGGGAUCCAAUGUAAUGAGGUUUGACUCUGAAGAGAGCUAUUAGAUAUAAUAAUAAAUAAAUCAUAAAAAUAAAAACU